CAAUGUUGGAUAGCGCCAGGCCUGCAUGUACAGGUGACGAGGAAAGAGCUUAUCGAAAGAUUCGGCGGAUAGCUCUAGGGACUGCACUCUAAAAGCUGAAAAGAAAAAGUGACUGCAAGGUUACAACAAAGAUUCAGCUAAGCAGAAUA
rnacentral:ncRNA from 2 species